CCUACGGGCUGCAGCAGUGGGGAAUAUUGGACAAUGGGCGAAAGCCUGAUCCAGCCAUGCCGCGUGUGUGAAGAAGGCCUUCGGGUUGUAAAGCACUUUCAGUGGGGAAGAAAGCCUUGGGGCUAAUACCCUCGAGGAAGGACAUCACCCACAGAAGAAGCACCGGCUAACUCCGUGCCAGCAGCCGCGGUAAUACGGAGGGUGCGAGCGUUAAUCGGAAUUACUGGGCGUAAAGCGCGCGUAGGCGGUCUGAUAAGCCGGUUGUGAAAGCCCCGGGCUCAACCUGGGAACGGCAUCCGGAACUGUCAGGCUAGAGUGCAGGAGAGGAGGGUAGAAUUCCCGGUGUAGCGGUGAAAUGCGUAGAGAUCGGGAGGAAUACCAGUGGCGAAGGCGGCCUUCUGGACUGACACUGACGCUGAGGUGCGAAAGCGUGGGUAGCAAACAGGAUUAGAUACCCCGGUAGUC
rnacentral:rRNA from 1 species